UACGUAGGGGGCAAGCGUUGUCCGGAAUCAUUGGGCGUAAAGCGCGUGUAGGCGGCUCGAUAAGUCUGCUGUGAAAGUCCAGGGCUCAACCCUGGGAUGCCGGUGGAUACUGUCGAGCUCGAGUCCGGAAGAGGCGAGUGGAAUUCCUGGUGUAGCGGUGAAAUGCGCAGAUAUCAGGAGGAACACCGAUGGCGAAGGCAGCUCGCUGGGACGUGACUGACGCUGAGACGCGAAAGCGUGGGAGCAACAGG
rnacentral:rRNA from 1 species